CCUACGGGAGGCAGCAGUGGGGGAUAUUGCACAAUGGGGGGAACCCUGAUGCAGCGACGCCGCGUGGGUGAAGAAGCGCCUCGGCGCGUAAAGCCCUGUCAGCAGGGAAGAAAAUGACGGUACCUGAAGAAGAAGCCCCGGCUAACUACGUGCCAGCAGCCGCGGUAAUACGUAGGGGGCAAGCGUUAUCCGGAUUUACUGGGUGUAAAGGGAGCGUAGGCGGUUUAGCAAGUCAGAAGUGAAAGCCCGGGGCUCAACUCCGGGACUGCUUUUGAAACGGUUGAACUAGAUAGCAGGAGAGGGAAGUGGAAUGCCUAGGGGAGCGGUGAAAUGAGUAGAUAGUAGGAGGAACAACAGUGGCGAAGGCGGCUUACUGGACUGUAAAUGACGCUGAGGCGCGAAAGCGUGGGGAGCAAACAGGAUUAGAUACCCGUGUAGUC
rnacentral:rRNA from 1 species